GCCCCUUGGACAAAAUUAUGCAAAAUGAUGAGAAGAAAAAGUUGAGAAAAUUGAGGGAACUUGCUGAAUCGCGAGAUGAACGGCUGCUCGAGUUGAAAAAAGAGAUUCUGAAGCUCGAAGUUCAGCACCGCGUCCUGGAGAAGGAAAAAUUGAAGUACAGAAAGAAAUUCGAGGAGGCGGUACUGCGUGGCAUCGCCAGAUUAAAUUCUCAACACCAAUUGAUGAAUAAUGCAACACCGUCUUCGUCGAUUCAAGAGGAUGAGGAUGAGGAUGAAAAUUGUUCAGAAGUCUCAAGGAAUGAUACCCCCGAUCCGGGAAACACCCCGACAUCUAGUCUCGCUGGAAAAAAACGAAAAUACGCGAGACGAAGACGGAGCAGUGAUUGACUUUUGUUUUUACCCAGUCUGUGAAAAUUGAUGGUUCCCUUUGGACGUUCUCUUUAAAAUUGAAUUUAUUUUGAUAGAGGAGGUAAAUUAAUUGGUAGGAUAUGGCAGCUGCCAAGUGUCCAGAACCCGUGGAGGAGCAGAAGGUGAUGAAGGAUCGGAAAAUGACAGACGCUGAGCGCUUGGUAAAAUUGGAGAAGGAGGUGACUCUCCUGCGCAAUGAUUUCGACAGAAUGAAGUGGGAACAGGCAGUAGCAGAAACGGCAAUAGGAAGAGCCAUUAUCCGAGGUUCAGCAUCACUCGGAAACGGUGGAUUCUGUCCAAUGGUUGACUCCGCAGGUCCUGUAAAAAAUCGUCAAGUAAUGGAUGACCCUCAGAAAAAUCCCUGCACGAAAAUUCCAUCCCAAUUAUCCGGAAAAAACGCCAUAACUGAUGGAAAACAGAAACAAGGGAAAGAAGAAUGUGGAUACUUCACUCUCGGAUAAUUUUGAUAUUACUCGUCUACCACUCGAGACUUUCAAUAAUGAAUACUCUGGAUUUGCCGAUUAAUUAAAAAAUUCCAUAAUCCAGUGAUUACCCCUCAGAAUAAAUUUCACCCGCAAGGUGUGUAAAAAGUUUUCUCCAGUGAAGAGUUGUCUGCGUCUUCCUAGCAACAGAGAAAAGCCAUCGUGUCCUAAUAAAUACAGCUCCAGUAGCAGCACACGUACAGAGAGAGGGUUGGAUGGUGGUGAUGCACUUGAUCCCGCCCCAGCGCUCGCAGAAGGACUUCGCCACCGGCUAGAGGAAGGAGGGACAAACGAGGACGCGUAUUACAUACGCGUGUCAUACACCCAUAGCCGAGUUCCGGUAAAAAACUCACGCACGACGCCACGUACUCCAGAGUCGAACAAAGGCACAGUCUGCAACCCCUUUCGUGUCCCUCCACCAGUUCUACGAAGCCCUCUUUCCCUCUCGGUCCACUGUGCAUAACGUCCAAUCUUCAAUUUUUCCUUUGCCAAUCUCACCGACUCUCUUCACACGGCUAAAAAUUUAUACUCAAAUUCACUCUCAUGUUCUACACACAAAAACAAUUAAAUCAUCUAAAUUAUCAUGUCUACACUGUUUAAAAUAUACACAGUGGAGUUUCUAGGAAUAUAAUAGAGAUAGAUAGAUAGAUAGACA